UACAGAGGUCUCAAGCGUUGUUCGGAUUCAUUGGGCGUAAAGAGCUCGUAGGCGGCUGCUCAAGUCGAAUGUGAAAACUCGAGGCUCAACCUCGAGCCUGCAUUCGAUACUGGGCGGCUAGAGUCUGGUAGGGGGAUCGUGGAAUUCCUGGUGUAGCGGUGAAAUGCGCAGAUAUCGGGAGGAACACCAAUUGCGAAGGCAGCUCGCUGGGACGUCACUGACGCUGAGACGCGAAAGCGUGGGGAGCAAACAGG
rnacentral:rRNA from 1 species